ACCCUGGUGGCACAAUGGUUAAGCAUUUGGCUGCUAACCAAAAGGUCAGUGGUUCGAACCCACUCAGUGGCU
rfam:Loxodonta africana unplaced genomic scaffold scaffold_75, whole genome shotgun sequence.